UGGGGAAUAUUGCACAAUGGGCGCAAGCCUGAUGCAGCCAUGCCGCGUGUGUGAAGAAGGUCUUCGGGUUGUAAAGCACUUUCAGCGGGGAGGAAGGCGAUAAGGUUAAUAACCUUGUCGAUUGACGUUACCCGCAGAAGAAGCACCGGCUAACUCCGUGCCAGCAGCCGCGGUAAUACGGAGGGUGCAAGCGUUAAUCGGAAUUACUGGGCGUAAAGCGCACGCAGGCGGUCUGUCAAGUCGGAUGUGAAAUCCCCGGGCUCAACCUGGGAGCUGCAUUCGAAACUAGCAGGCUAGAGUCUUGUAGAGGGGGGUAGGAUUCCAGGUGUGGCGGUGAGAUGCGUAGAGAACUGGAGGAAUACCGGUGGCGAAGGCGGCCCCCUGGACAAAGACUGACGCUCAGGUGCGAAAGAGUGGGGAGCAAACAGG
rnacentral:rRNA from 1 species